AAGGGAAUCUUCCGCAAUGGGCGAAAGCCUGACGGAGCAACGCCGCGUGAGUGAUGAAGGUCUUCGGAUCGUAAAACUCUGGUAUUAGGGAAGAACAAAUGUGUAAGUAACUAUGCACGUCUUGACGGUACCUAAUCAGAAAGCCACGGCUAACUACGUGCCAGCAGCCGAGGUAAUACGUAGGUGGCAAGCGGUAUCCGGAAUUAUUGGGCGUAAAGCGCGCGUAGGCGGUUUUUUAAGUCUGAUGUGAAAGCCCACGGCUCAACCGUGGAGGGUCAUUGGAAACUGGAAAACUUGAGUGCAGAAGAGGAAAGUGGAAUUCCAUGUGUAGCGGUGAAAUUCGCAGAGAUAUGGAGGAACACCAGUGGCGAAGGCGACUUUCUGGUCUGUAACUGACGCUGAUGUGCGAAAGCGUGGGGAUCAAACAGU
rnacentral:rRNA from 1 species